UCAUUUCUUCAUAAUACUUGUUAAAGAAAUAAAUAAAGAUUUUUUUUUUUGAUGAAGUUCUUGUUAUCUUUUGUUGAAAAUUGCUUUUAAUUAUUGCACUAGUUUUUAGGAAAAUAAGAUUUCUAGUUUAGGAUGAAUUUAAAUUUUAAAUUUCUGUUGGGUGUGUUUAGUUAUUGAGAGUUUUUAGCCUUUUUUGAAUUUCAAAUUAUGCGGAUUAUGUGCUUUAUGUUGGCUAUUUAAAGUCCACCAAUGCUUUAAUAAAAAUAAUUGAAAGCUAUUGAAAGUUAUUUCAAUCUAGUGAGAAUCAUUUUAACCCUUUUUGUUGCCAUCUAUUUUUUUUUUUUCUUUUUUAAAAACCAACAUCUUUAUUAGUGUGUCUAUAUUUGUUUAAUUAUUCUGUUUGUCUUUGAAAUGGGUUUGAAUAGAGUGUACUGAAUAUCGAAUUGAGGCGUAUUUGAUUGAUUGAUUGAUCGAUAAGAAUGCAUCUAUGGUAGGGGAAAUUGGUGUUUGAAGUAAUUUUGAACAUUGUGUAAUGGAUAUAGAGAUUCAUAUUGUAGGCCGCAAUUAGUUUGGGGUUGAAGCAUGGAAAACAAUAAUUAUUGAUUGAUCACUACAUACCUAUGUUAGGAAAGUUUGGUUUUGUACUAGAAAUUUUGAUGCUUUUUUACUUUUCAAGUUUGGUAUGUUAAAGUGAUUUUGGAGCUUAGUCCUUUAUUGGUUGAGAUGUUGAGUUGUGUUGCGGAUUAAUCGACUAAUUGCCAGCUGGCCAGUUAGUUACUUCAUUAGUUGGAGUUAGUUAGAGUUAGUUAGGUGUAGUUAUAGUUAAGAGUACAUGUAUAUAUUACAACUAUGGGUAGAGUUGGUUGUUCUCAAGUUUCAUUCAAUAAAACAGUUUCCUUCUUUUCGUUUCUUUUUUGCUCUCAGCGAUAGUUCCUUUCAUUUUUCGUUUCUGUUUUGCUCUCACCGAUAGUUCCUUUCAUGGAACUUUACAUGGUCUCAGAGCCACCAUAUCAGUAAAAUCUAAGGAUUCCUUGUUCCGAUUAAGCAGGAAAUUGAGAGAUUCUUCAUUCCUAUUAACCCAAUUUUACAUUUUUUCGCGUUUUUUGAAAGUUCUACUAUGGCUAAUGUACGAUUUGACCAUAAUCAUCCGUUGUUUCUGGGAGCUUCGGAUACACCUGGUCUGUACGAGUUGGUAUUGAGCUUACUGGGAUGGGGAAUUAAACACUUUGGGGCAGACCAAUGCGACUUGCACUUUUGACAAAGAACAAAAUUGGCCUCAGCAGUGUUGCAAAAGGCGCUCGCCACGUCGCCAAUGGAAAAUGGUGAGGCAAGGCGAGGCAUAGUCGCCUCUUGUCAUCGUAGCGAGGUGAAAUCCAAAAGGCGACAUGGCGAGGCGACGUGGUGAGGCAACGAUGGCGUCGCCUUUUUUACUUCUUUUUAAAAAAAUUAGGGUUUUAGGGUUAAAAGUUAAUUUUAGGGCUUAUUUUCAUAUUUUGACUAUACCAACUUACUCAUUGGCGACUGCUACCUACUCACAACUUACAAGUUUGACUUCAACUCCGGCGAUGUUACUCCAGCGACUUCCCCUAUUCCGGUAAGUCUUGAUUUCUACUUUUUUCUUUUUUCUUCUUUUUCUUCUUAAUCAGACAGCUGAACAUUGGCAUGCUGUUUUUAUUCUUCCACUUUUUCUCUUCUUCUGCUAUUCUGUGAUAGUGAUACAGUGUUACAACACACUGUCACUAACUCACUGUAACAGACUAACAGUAAGCUGUAAACACUGCAUAAAUGUAUUAUGUAAAUAUGUUUUGUAAUAACUUAUAUAACAUAGUAUGACAAGGGAAAAACGACAAGUUCAAGUCAGACUCGGGCCUUAGUUGAUGAAGAAUCCAAAGAGGAAGAAGAUGAGGGGCAAUAUAAUGAAAUGCAUGUUAGAAUUGAAGAUUAUGCAAAUCUUGAAGAAGAAUAAACUUUAAAGUUUUAGUAUUGCUUGUUUUAUGAAUAUUGGAUUAUUGAGUCAUUCAAGUUCUAGACUUUUAGUAUCUAUCUACCACUAUUUAUUUUUAAUUCUUGACUUGAAAUAUUUUCUAAUAUAUUAGUGCUAUUGAAAUUUUGAUCAUUUAUAUAUUAUUUUAAUUUUUUGUAUUAAUUGUCGCCACACAUUCAAAAGGCGAUCGCCUCGCCGCUCGCCUCACCUUGUGGCGAGAUGGGGCCUUGUCGCCUCUUGUGGCCUUUCGCUGUCCACAACAGUAGGCCUCAUUGAUGGAUCCAUCACUCGUGACAAAUUUGGGGCUGAUUUGGUGAAUCAAUGGGAACGAUGCAAUGCGAUGGUGAUUUCUUGGAUAAUGAGCAAUGUAAGUAAGGAUUUGCUUUUUGGAAUUUGUUCAAAUCUAGUGCUAGCUCAGUUUGGGAGUAUCUUCGAGAACAGUUUAAUAAGGUGAAUUUGUCUCAAAUUUAUUAUCUUCACAAAGAGAUUGUGACAUUAGUUUAGGGUACCUUGCCAGUCUCUGUUUAUUACUCUAGGUUGAAGGACCUUUGGGACGAGUAUGAGUCGAUUGUGCCUCCACCGUCAGUUUCUAAUGGGACUCAAUGGUGGAUAUAACAAUGCCCAUGGUCAGAUUUUGAUGAAAUCUACUCCUCCUACUGCAAAUCAAGCCUAUGCUGUGAUUAUUGAGGAUGAAAAUCAAAAGUCAUCCUUAGUCAAUUCUUCAACUGGACAUUUUCAAUCCAGUGGUGGCAUGGAUCCUACAACAUUGUUCACAGCUAGAGGAGGAAUGCAGAAUAGACGAGCAUAGAUAUUUAUUGUGAUUACUGCCACAUGAAGGGUCACACUUGGGAUCAAUGCUACAAAUUGAAAUUUGUGAUCAUUGCAAGUCUCGUAGUCAUGUGAAAGGGAACUGCUAUCAGCUGAUUGGCUAUCCCGCCGCCUUUAAAGGUAGAACGAAAGCAAAUAUAGUGACUGGAACUAAUUACUCAAUUGGUUUUCAUCAAGGCAACAAUUUAUCUCAUGAGCCUGAUCAGAUAAGUUGAGGUGUACAUGAAAAUCACGGUAAUGGUACUUUUAGGUUUUUUACUCAUGAACAAUUAACCCAGAUUGAGGAUCUUCUUCGACACUCCAAGCUUGGUGAAGCAAAUGCCAGUAUGGCUAGAACCAAUAUAAAUCUUGCAGGUAAUGUCCCUUACAUUGGUAAGGAUAAAUAUGCUUGGAUUGUUGACACUGGAGCAACUAAUCGCAUGAUUAGUGAUGCACAAUUGUUGUUGCCUGAUGCUUAAAUAGGGAAUAUUGGUUUAGUAUAAUUGCCCACUAGAGAAAUAGCACAAGUAUCUUCUAUUGGAAAUUGCACAUUUAAAGGUGGUGAACACCUUACUAAUGUACUCUAUGUCCCAGGUUUUAAAUUCAAUCUCUUAUCUGUUUCCAAGAUAACUAGAGAGAUGAAUUGUUGUGUUUCUUUCUUCCAUGACUUCUGUGUUUUCCAGGAUCUCACUGGGAAAGUGAGGGCGAUUGGUAAUGAAAAUGAAGGGUUAGACACACUGCAAAGGAAGAGACCACAUUAUGAUGAAGUUCAAAGAAAAUCUUUGGUCGUACAUGGAGCAGCAGAUGGAACAAUUUGGCACCAGAGAUUAGGUCAUGUUCCUAUGAAGGUCAUUCGAAGGAUUACAUGUUUCAAGAAUAAUUCUGAUUUUCACUUAGAUUCUUGUGAUGUAUGCCCACUUGCUAGACAAACUAGAGUGCGUUUUCCUAUUAGCAAUACUAAGUCCACUACUAUUAUGUUUGAAUUGUUGCAUAUGGAUGUUUGGGGGCCUUAUAAAACUGAAACAUAUGAUAGUAUGAAAUUUUAUCUCAGCAUUGUUGAUGAUUAUACCAAGUGGACUUGGGUGUUUCUUAUGAGAUUGAAAUUUGAUGUCAUUUUUUUCUUAGAAACUUUGUUGCUAGGUGUCUACUCAAUUUGAUUGCAAAAGUAAGGUAAUGAGAACUGACAAUGGGUCAAAGUUUGUCAAUAAAAGUUGUAGUGAGUUGUUUCAGUCCCAUGGGAUCAUUCAUCAGUGUUCAUGCCCUUACACUUCACAACAAAAUGGUGUUCUGGAGAGAAGACAUAGACAUAUUAUGGAAACUACCAAGGCAAUAAAAUUUCAAGGAUUUCUUCCUUCAAAGUCUUGUGGAGACUGUGUUGAGGCUGUUGUGUAUAUCAUCAAUAAAAUUCCCUAUAGUAUGCUGGGUAACAAGUCACCUUUUGCAAUGCUAUAUAAUCAUGAAACUAAUCUACAACAUCUCAGAGUGAUAGGAUGUGAAUGCUAUGCAACCAACUUAUCCAAGCAUGAUAAGUUUAGUGCCAGGGCUGUUAAGUCAGUUCGUCUUGGUAUAGUUCUCAUCACAAACGAUACAAGCUGUUUGAUUUAAACACUCACAACAUAUUUGUGAGCAGAGAUAUCAGGUUUAAUGAACUUGUUUUUUCAUUGCAGUCAUGUGAUAAUACAUCUGAGGAUGGUAUAUUUCAUCCCAUUGCUUCUGCUCCUCUAGAGGAUGGUAUUUUUCCUUCAGAUAAUGAUGUAGUUCUGGAAUCUGCAACACAUGUGGUUCCUUAAAUUGAGUUACAAAACACAGCUGCAGCACCAGUAGAUGUGGUUGAGCUUGAUGCUCCUAUUCCUACCAGUAGAUCAGGCUGGACUGUAUGGCCUCCAAUUUGGCUUAAAGACUGUCAAGCCAGUGAAGCCUAGAAGUUCUCACCAUUGCAAAUAUCCUAUUUUUGAUGUGAUUUCUUAUGCAGGCUUAUCCUCAUUAUAUCAAAGUUUUGUCUCCAAAUUUUCUUUGGAAACUGAGUCUAAAUCUUAUGAUGAAACUGUGGUUGAUAGUAGAUGAGUGACUGCAAUACAGGCAUAGAUUAUAGCUUUGCAAAAUAAUAAGACUUGGGAACUUGUCACUUUGCCCAAGGGGAAGAAAGCAAUUGGAUGCAGAUGGAUUUACAAGAUCAAAUACAAGGCAGAUGGGACAAUUGAUAAGUUCAAGACAAGACUUGUUGCUAAAGGUUACAAUCAAAACGAGGGAUUGGAUUUUCAAGAGACUUUUUCACCAGUUGUGAAAAUGGUUACAGUGAGAACUGUAAUCUCUAUGGUUGCAGCUCAAGGAUGGGAAAUACACCAAAUGGAUGUUAAUAAUGUUUUCUUACAAGGUGAUCUGAAUGAGGAAGUGUAUAUAACUGUCCCACAAGGUUUUAAUACAAAUGGAGAUCCACAAAAGGUCUGCAGGUUGUUUAAGUCCCUAUGGACUUAAACAAGCCUCUAGACAGUGGAACAUCAAGUUCACUUCUGCCUUAAUAAUCAUAGCAGGAUUUUCUCAAAGUCAUUAUGAUUAUUCCUUAUUUACAAAGAAGGUGGCAGGGAAGAUAGUGGUGGUACUUGUCUAUGAUGAUGAUUUGCUGGUUACAAGUGAUGAUAUUCAAUUAAUUAUGGAAACAAAGCAAGUGUUGCAGACUAAUUUCAUGAUCAAGGAUCUUGGAGAUUUGAGGUUUUUUCUUGGCAUUGAGUUUGCUCGCAAUUCAACAAGAAUAGUGAUGCACCAAAGGAGGACCCUAGCAAUUAUCAAAGACUCAUCGGAAGACUUCUCUAACAGUAAGGCCAAACAUCUGUUUUCCUGUUCAGUGUCUAAGUCAAUUUAUGCAUCGUCCAAAAA